rnacentral:tRNA from 5 species
ACGCCGAGGGUUAAAAUCCCUCCUACUGCU